GACGAACGCUGGCGGCGUGCCUAACACAUGCAAGUCGAACGGAAAGGCCCUGCUUUUGUGGGGUGCUCGAGUGGCGAACGGGUGAGUAACACGUGAGUAACCUGCCCUUGACUUUGGGAUAACUUCAGGAAACUGGGGCUAAUACCGGAUAGGAGCUCCUGCUGCAUGGUGGGGGUUGGAAAGUUUCGGCGGUUGGGGAUGGACUCGCGGCUUAUCAGCUUGUUGGUGGGGUAGUGGCUUACCAAGGCUUUGACGGGUAGCCGGCCUGAGAAGGUGACCGGCCACAUUGGGACUGAGAUACGGCCCAGACUCCUACGGGAGGCAGCAGUGGGGAAUAUUGCACAAUGGGCGGAAGCCUGAUGCAGCAACGCCGCGCGCGGGAUGACGGCCUUCGGGUUGUAAACCGCUUUCGCCUGUGACGAAGCGUGAGUGACGGUAAUGGGUAAAGAAGCACCGGCUAACUACGUGCCAGCAGCCGCGGUGAUACGUAGGGUGCGAGCGUUGUCCGGAUUUAUUGGGCGUAAAGGGCUCGUAGGUGGUUGAUCGCGUCGGAAGUGUAAUCUUGGGGCUUAACCCUGAGCGUGCUUUCGAUACGGGUUGACUUGAGGAAGGUAGGGGAGAAUGGGAUUCCUGGUGGAGCGGUGGAAUGCGCAGAUAUCAGGAGGAACACCAGUGGCGAAGGCGGUUCUCUGGGCCUUUCCUGACGCUGAGGAGCGAAAGCGUGGGGAGCGAACAGGCUUAGAUACCCUGGUAGUCCACGCUGUAAACGGUGGGUACUAGGUGUGGGGUCCAUUCCACGGGUUCCGUGCCGUAGCUAACGCUUUAAGUACCCCGCCUGGGGAGUACGGCCGCAAGGCUAAAACUCAAAGGAAUUGACGGGGCCCCGCACAAGCGGCGGAGCAUGCGGAUUAAUUCGAUGCAACGCGUAGAACCUUACCUGGGUUUGACAUGGAUCGGGAGCGCUCAGAGAUGGGUGUGCCUCUUUUGGGGUCGGUUCACAGGUGGUGCAUGGCUGUCGUCAGCUCGUGUCGUGAGAUGUUGGGUUAAGUCCCGCAACGAGCGCAACCCUUGUUCACUGUUGCCAGCACGUUAUGGUGGGGACUCAGUGGAGACCGCCGGGGUCAACUCGGAGGAAGGUGGGGAUGACGUCAAGUCAUCAUGCCCCUUAUGUCCAGGGCUUCACGCAUGCUACAACGGCUGGUACAGAGAGUGGCGAGCCUGUGAGGGUGAGCGAAUCUCGGAAAGCCGGUCUCAGUUCGGAUUGGGGUCUGCAACUCGACCUCAUGAAGUCGGAGUCGCUAGUAAUCGCAGAUCAGCAACGCUGCGGUGAAUACGUUCCCGGG
rnacentral:rRNA from 1 species